CAGUCGCCGCGGUAAAACGGAGGGGGCUAGCGUUGUUCGGAAUUACUGGGCGUAAAGCGCACGUAGGCGGCUUGGUAAGUUAGAGGUGAAAGCCUGGAGCUCAACUCCAGAAUUGCCUUUAAGACUGCCGAGCUAGCAGGUGAGAGAGGUAAGUGGAAUUCCGAGUGUAGAGGUGAAAUUCGUAGAUAUUCGGAAGAACACCAGUGGCGAAGGCGGCUCACUGGCUCAUACUGGACGCUGAGGUGCGAAAGCGUGGGGAGCAAACAGGAUUAGAUACCCCUGUAGUCCCUGUCUCUUAUAC
rnacentral:rRNA from 1 species